rnacentral:rRNA from 1 species
UACGGGGGGGGCAAGCGUUGUUCGGAAUUACUGGGCGUAAAGCGUGCGUAGGUGGUUCGUUAAGUCUGAUGUGAAAGCCCUGGGCUCAACCUGGGAAUGGCAUUGGAUACUGGCGACCUAGAGUGCGGUAGAGGGGUGUGGAAUUCCCGGUGUAGCAGUGAAAUGCGUAGAUAUCGGGAGGAACAUCUGUGGCGAAGGCGACACCCUGGACCAGCACUGACACUGAGGCACGAAAGCGUGGGGAGCAAACAGG